rnacentral:misc_RNA from 1 species
GAUGAAGAACGUAGCGAAAUGCGAUACUUGGUGUGAAUUGCAGAAUCCCGUGAACCAUCGAGUCUUUGAACGCAAGUUGCGCCCGAAGCCACUAGGCCGAGGGCACGCCUGCCUGGGCGUCACACGUCGUUGCCCCCCCCCCCAUCUACUCCUUCGGGAUUUCGGGGGGCGGAUGAUGGCCUCCCGUGCGCCUAGCCGCGCGGUUGGCAUAAAUACCAAGUCCUCGGCGACGCACACCACGACAAUCGGUGGUUGCGAAACCUCGGUUGCCCGUCGUGUGCGUUCGUCGCGCAUCGAGGGCUCGAAAAAAUGCUCGGCUCCGGCUCGGCUUUCAACGCGACCCCAGGUCAGGCGGGGUUACCCGCUGAAUUUAAGCAUAUCAAUAAGCGGAGGA